rnacentral:rRNA from 1 species
AGAAGCAGCCAUCAUUUAAAGAGUGCGUAAUAGCUCACUAGUCGAGUGACACUGCGCCGAAAAUGUACCGGGGCUAAACAUAUUACCGAAGCUGUGGAUUGUCCUUUGGACAAUGGUAGGAGAGCGUUCUAAGGGCGUUGAAGCAUGAUCGUAAGGACAUGUGGAGCGCUUAGAAGUGAGAAUGCCGGUGUGAGUAGCGAAAGACGGGUGAGAAUCCCGUCCACCGAUUGACUAAGGUUUCCAGAGGAAGGCUCGUCCGCUCUGGGUUAGUCGGGUCCUAAGCUGAGGCCGACAGGCGUAGGCGAUGGAUAACAGGUUGAUAUUCCUGUACCACCUAUAAUCGUUUUAAUCGAUGGGGGGACGCAGUAGGAUAGGCGAAGCGUGCGAUUGGAUUGCACGUCUAAGCAGUAAGGCUGAGUAUUAGGCAAAUCCGGUACUCGUUAAGGCUGAGCUGUGAUGGGGAGAAGACAUUGUGUCUUCGAGUCGUUGAUUUCACACUGCCGAGAAAAGCCUCUAGAUAGAAAAUAGGUGCCCGUACCGCAAACCGACACAGGUAGUCAAGAUGAGAAUUCUAAGGUGAGCGAGCGAACUCUCGUUAAGGAACUCGGCAAAAUGACCCCGUAACUUCGGGAGAAGGGGUGCUCUUUAGGGUUAACGCCCAGAAGAGCCGCAGUGAAUAGGCCCAAGCGACUGUUUAUCAAAAACACAGGUCUCUGCUAAACCGUAAGGUGAUGUAUAGGGGCUGACGCCUGCCCGGUGCUGGAAGGUUAAGAGGAGUGGUUAGCUUCUGCGAAGCUACGAAUCGAAGCCCCAGUAAACGGCGGCCGUAACUAUAACGGUCCUAAGGUAGCGAAAUUCCUUGUCGGGUAAGUUCCGACCCGCACGAAAGGCGUAACGAUUUGGGCACUGUCUCAACGAGAGACUCAGUGAAAUCAUAGUACCUGUGAAGAUGCAGGUUACCCGCGACAGGACGGAAAGACCCCGUGGAGCUUUACUGUAGCCUGAUAUUGAAAUUCGGCACAGCUUGUACAGGAUAGGUAGGAGCCUUUGAAACGUGAGCGCUAGCUUACGUGGAGGCGCUGGUGGGAUACUACCCUAGCUGUGUUGGCUUUCUAACCCGCACCACUUAUCGUGGUGGGAGACAGUGUCAGGCGGGCAGUUUGACUGGGGCGGUCGCCACCUAAAAGGUAACGGAGGCGCUCAAAGGUUCCCUCAGAAUGGUUGGAAAUCAUUCAUAGAGUGUAAAGGCAUAAGGGAGCUUGACUGCGAGACCUACAAGUCGAGCAGGGUCGAAAGACGGACUUAGUGAUCCGGUGGUUCCGCAUGGAAGGGCCAUCGCUCAACGGAUAAAAGCUACCCCGGGGAUAACAGGCUUAUCUCCCCCAAGAGUUCACAUCGACGGGGAGGUUUGGCACCUCGAUGUCGGCUCAUCGCAUCCUGGGGCUGUAGUCGGUCCCAAGGGUUGGGCUGUUCGCCCAUUAAAGCGGUACGCGAGCUGGGUUCAGAACGUCGUGAGACAGUUCGGUCCAUAUCCGUCGUGGGCGCAGGAAAUUUGAGAGGAGCUGUCCUUAGUACGAGAGGACCGGGAUGGACAUACCUCUGGUGUACCAGUUGUCGUGCCAACGGCAUAGCUGGGUAGCUAUGUGUGGACGGGAUAAGUGCUGAAAGCAUCUAAGCAUGAAGCCCCCUCAAGAUGAGAUUUCCCAACUUCGGUUAUAAGAUCCCUCAAAGAUGAUGAGGUUAAUAGGUUCGAGGUGGAAGCAUGGUGACAUGUGGAGCUGACGAAUACUAAUCGAUCGAAGACUUAAUCA